GCACCGGUAGUGUAUGGAACACGCACCAUCCCUUUGAAGGAUUAGGACCAAGUGAGAGGGUGAGACGGGGUUCGAUUCCCCGGCGGUGCA